rnacentral:lncRNA from 1 species
AAUAAGAAAACCUAAAAUAAAAGACAAAUAACUGCCAUAAUUAAUAAUUCAAAUUCAAAUAUUUGGAUCUAACAACAAAAACAAAUUCAAAUUCAAAACAAAUUCAAAUUCAAAUAUUCAAAUUCAAAACUUCAUCUCCCUUUCCAUAUUUUUUCUCUCCUUUAUAACUAAGAAAUUCCAUCUAGGUCGUUCAUGGUGUAUGUGUAGCAGAUCUGAAUCUGCAUCUUCCAUUCUCUAAAAUAACUUCAGAUUUCUCUCCAAUACAUGAUUAGGGUACUGAUAUAUGAAAGACUUUUUCACAUUCUGCAACCAAUGUAACAAAAUUAGUAAUUAUUCGUGAUCACCAUAUGCUAAAUAGCCAGACAAAACACGAACAACAAAAACAGAACAAAUAGAAGAAGAAGUAGCCGAACAAUUUUUUUUUAGAAUAUUUAGUUACCCACAAAAACUAAAAUGGUUACCUUUGUAUGAAAAUUUGGCUACCAACUGCACCAUAUUAUCGAUUUCAUUCACUCAUUCAUCUCUUUUGGAGAAAGCACGAAAAAGAAAAAUAGAAAAAGAAACCAUUCUUCAUGCGUAUAAGUUUUCAUGCUCGUCAGUUUUGUGAUAUCAACCACAAGAAAAAUGACCCUAAAUAUUACAAAGUGGAAAGUGAAGAAUUGGUAACUCAAUUCAGUGUUAUAAGAGAGUGAUGUGUAAUGUAAUAUUGAUAACCAAACGUUUAUAUCAAGGUAACAAAACAUUUAUACCAAGGUAACUAAACAUUUACACCAAGGUAACCAAAAUACCUCCACAUCUGUAGUAUAAAUUGGUCACCUUGGUCUGAAAGUUUGGCAACCAACUGCAUGAAAGUUUGGCUACCAACUGUAUCACAUUUAAAAAUAAAUUGGUAACUUAAUAACACUGAAUUGGUUACCUUGGUAUGAAUAUUUGGCUACCAAUUGUACUCUGAAAAAAAUAUCAAACAAAAUCUGCCUUUUAGCCAACUGAAAAAUAUCAAAUUCUUUUCAAAGUAUGCUUGUUUUUUGCAAAUAAACCUCAUAACUCAAAAGUUGCUGUGUUUUCAUAAUUAAUCUCGCUUUUUCUCUCUCCAAUUUCAUGUCUUCAAGUUGUCAUGGUUGGAAAUGUAAGGACAGAAGUUAUGGAAUAAGGGGUAUUGUGAACAGUAGAGAGCAAGAAGAAAGCAUUUAACCCGCUUCUCUAUUGCCUUCUUAAUCGUCAAAGUGAGAAACCGGAGAGGGAGAAAGCGGAAGGAAUAUCUGCUGUGUAACCGAAUCAAUGGCCACCAAACUAUAUAUCGUGUAAGUACUUCUAAUCAAUGGUCUAGGUUUGGAAGAAGAGUUUAUUAUGAUUCCAGAUCUUGGGGUGUGGUAGGGUUGAUGAGGAGAGAGAAUAAGAGAGAAGAAAGGAAAUACCGAAAUGGUGAGGAAGUAGGUGAGAGAGGAAGUGGGUGGAAUAAGGGGUACU